rnacentral:tRNA from 1 species
GGCUUUAUAGUAUAAGAUUACAUUGGAUUGCAAAUUUAAAGAUGUGUGGGUACACUAAGGCUU